GAUGAACGCUGGCGGCGUGCUUAACACAUGCAAGUCGAACGGAAAGGCCCCUGUUUGCAGGUAUACUCGAGUGGCGAACGGGUGAGUAACACGUGUGAGAUCUGCCCUGCACUUCGGUAUCAGCAUGGGAAACUGGGUCUAAUACCGGAUAGGACGCUGGUUUGGAUGCCAUUGUGGAAAGUUUUUCGGUGUGGGAUGAGACCGCGGCCUUUCAGCUUGUUGGUGGGGUAAUGGCCUACCAAGGCGUCGACGGGUAGCCGGCCCGAGAGGGGGUACGGCCACAUGGGGACUGAGAUACGGCCCAGACUCCUACGGGGGGCAGCAGUGGGGAAUAUUGCACAAUGGGCGCAAGCCUGAUGCAGCGACGCCGCGUGGGGGAUGACGGCCUUCGGGUUGUAAACGCCUUUCGCUAUGGACGAAGCGCAAGUGACGGUACCUGGAAAAGAAGCACCGGCUAACUACGUG
rnacentral:rRNA from 1 species